rnacentral:rRNA from 1 species
AACGAACGCUGGCGGCAGGCCUAACACAUGCAAGUCGAGCGCCCAGCAAUGGGAGCGGCAGACGGGUGAGUAACACGUGGGAACCUUCCCUAUAGUACGGAAUAGCCCAGGGAAACUUGGAGUAAUACCGCAUACGCCCGAGAGGGGAAAGAUUUAUCGCUAUAGGAUGGGCCCGCGUAGGAUUAGCUAGUUGGUGAGGUAAUGGCUCACCAAGGCGACGAUCCUUAGCUGGUCUGAGAGGACGACCAGCCACACUGGGACUGAGACACGGCCCAGACUCCUACGGGAGGCAGCAGUGGGGAAUAUUGGACAAUGGGCGCAAGCCUGAUCCAGCCAUGCCGCGUGAGUGAUGAAGGCCUUAGGGUUGUAAAGCUCUUUUGCCGGGGGACGAUAAUGACGGUACCCGGAGAAUAAGUCCCGGCUAACUUCGUGCCAGCAGCCGCGGUAAU